rnacentral:rRNA from 1 species
ACUGAAACAUCUAAGUACCCGGAGGAAAAGAAAUCAAACGAGAUGCCCACAGUAGCGGCGAGCGAAGAGGGCAGAGCCCAAACCUGUAAGCUACGGCUUAUGGGGGUUGAGGACUGACGUAAUUAAGGCCAGGCUUAGCUGAACUACCUGGGAAGGUAGGCGAUAGAAGGUAAGAGCCCUGUAAGCGAAAGGCAGAGCCUUAAGGUCAGUAUCCAGAGUACCACGGAGCACGAGGAAUUCUGUGGGAAGCAGGGGGGACCACCCUCCAAGGCUAAAGACUAACUGGCGACCGAUAGCGCAUAGUACCGUGAGGGAAAGGUGAAAAGAACCCCGGGAGGGGAGUGAAAUAGUACCUGAAACCGUAUGUCUACAAGCAGUCGGAGCGAAAGCAACGGCGUGCCUAUUGAAGAAUGAACCAACGAGUUAUCUGCACUAGCGAGGUUAAGUGGAAGACACGGAGCCGUAGCGAAAGCGAGUCUGAAAAGGGCGGAUAGUUAGUGUAGGUAGACCCGAAACCGCAGUGAUCUACCCAUGUCCAGGUUGAAGCGCAGGUAAAAAUGCGUGGAGGACCGAACCGGUGAGCGUUGAAAAGCUUUCGGAUGAGAUGUGGGUAGGGGUGAAAUUCCAAUCGAACGCGGAGAUAGCUGGUUCUCCCCGAAAUAGCUUUAGGGCUAGCCUCAGGUAGUAAGUAUAGGCGGUAGAGCACUGAUCGGGCUAGGGGCCAUAAAGGUUACCGAACCCUGUCAAACUCCGAAUGGAUAUACUGCAGAGCCUGGGAGUCAGACUACGAGUGAUAAGAUCCGUGGUCAAAAGGGAAACAGCCCAGACCACCGGCUAAGGUCCCAAAUGCCGUACUAAGUGGAAAAGGAUGUGGGGAUUCAUAAACAACCAGGAUGUUGGCUCAGAAGCAGCCACCAUUUAAAGAGUGCGUAAUAGCUCACUGGUCGAGAGUCCCUGCGCCGAAAAUUUCCGGGGCUAAAGUACGGAACCGAAGCCGUGGCUGUGUACUUAGGUGCACGGGGUAGGGGAGCGUUGCCACAGGGGUGAAGCUGGUCUGGAAGGACUGGUGGACUUGUGGGAAGUGAGAAUGUUGGUAUGAGUAGCGAAAAGAAAGGUGAGAAUCCUUUCCACCGAAAGCAUAAGGAUUCCUGAGCAACGAUCGUCGUCUCAGGGUAAGUCGGGACCUAAUCCGAGGCAAAGAGCGUAGGAGAUGGACAACAGGUUGAUAUUCCUGUACCGGCAGCAAUUGUUUGAGCGAAGGAGUGACACAGAAGGGCAGGCAGGCGCGAGACUGGAUUGUCGCGUGCAAGCGUGUAGGGUAGUGUACAGGCAAAUCCGUACACUGAGAGCCUGAGGCGUUACGCGGAGCGAGCAGAGAUGCGAGCGAAGCUGCUGAUCCCACACUGUCGAGAAAAGCUUCUAGUGAGAGAGCUGCCGCCCGUACCGUAAACCGACACAGGUAUGCGGGGAGAGAAUCCUAAGGUGCGCGGGAGAACCCUCGUUAAGGAACUCGGCAAAAUGUACCCGUAACUUCGGGAUAAGGGUAGCCGUCUUGGUGAAGGAACUAGCUUCUGGAGCUGAAGGCGGUCGCAGAGAAGAGGCCCAAGCGACUGUUUACCACAAACACAGGUGCCUGCUAAAGCGAAAGCUGACGUAUAGGUGCUGACACCUGCCCAGUGCUGGAAGGUUAAGGAAGGAUGUCCGGGCAACCAAAGCAUUCGACCGAAGCCCCAGUGAACGGCGGCCGUAACUAUAACGGUCCUAAGGUAGCGAAAUUCCUUGUCGGGUAAGUUCCGACCCGCACGAAAGGUGUAACGAUUUGGGCACUGUCUCAACGAGGGACCCGGUGAAAUUGAAAUACCUGUGAAGAUGCAGGUUACCCGCGACUGGACAGAAAGACCCCAUGGAGCUUUACUGUAACCUGACAUUGGGUUUUGUUGUAUUACGUACAGGAUAGGUGGGAGGCUUGGAAGGCUGGACGCUAGUCUGGCUGGAGCCGGCGUUGGGAUACCACCCUUGAUACAACGGAAUUCUAACCGAGAGAGUAACGAAAUCCGGGACAGUGUCAGGCGGGCAGUUUGACUGGGGCGGUCGCC